CCAAGAAGAAAUACAUAUUGCCCCGUCAAGUUGUCAAUAUUUCUAGUUCUUUGUAACAGCACAAGCUGAGGAAGUAUGGCAACAGCUUCUAAAUAUAUGGAAAAUGUCCACAUCACCUCCUUAAAUGUGAAUUUCUCAUUAAUAACAAGGGCCAAGAGUAAGCAAGGCAGUAUAAGGAAAUAAUGACGGAAGCUGUCCUGAGCUUUAUCAUAAGACCUAUUGACAAUCUUGUGGUUCC
rnacentral:misc_RNA from 1 species